CGGUAAACGAGCUACUCGGUCCACCCAUUGUCACACAGGAAGCGCGAGUUGAAGAAUAAUAGUUAUAUCAUAACAUUUUACAGUAAUAAGAUAUAGUUAUUCUAUUACUAUAUAGGUUAAUCGCUGCUGUAGCCUGAGUAGUCGUGAUCCGAGUAAACAAAUCAUCUAGAUGUUCAACGAAAGUUCGCGGUAUUUCUUGGCGACUAAAUUCUGAUGGUAUGAUGGCUUUUGUACCGAAAAUAAGCUCAUGAGGGGAGAAACCUGUAGCUUCAUGCACGGAAGUAUUAUAUGAGAAUAUUCCAAAGCGUAUCCAAUCGUCCCAAUCAGUUUUUCCACAAUAAUGCUUUAAAUAAUCUAUAAAAACGCGAUGUGCUCGUUCAAGAGAGCCCAACGAUUGAGGGUGAAAUGCCGUUGAUUUUGAAUAACACGAGGGCAACCGAACCUACUUAUAAACUGUUCUGCAAGAGCAACUGCAACAGUAAUGGAG